rnacentral:rRNA from 1 species
GAGUAAUGUCUGGGAAACUGCCUGAUGGAGGGGGAUAACUACUGGAAACGGUGGCUAAUACCGCAUAACGUCGCAAGACCAAAGAGGGGGACCUUCGGGCCUCUUGCCAUCAGAUGUGCCCAGAUGGGAUUAGCUUGUUGGUGAGGUAACGGCUCACCAAGGCGACGAUCCCUAGCUGGUCUGAGAGGAUGACCAGCCACACUGGAACUGAGACACGGUCCAGACUCCUACGGGAGGCAGCAGUGGGGAAUAUUGCACAAUGGGCGCAAGCCUGAUGCAGCCAUGCCGCGUGUAUGAAGAAGGCCUUCGGGUUGUAAAGUACUUUCAGCGGGGAGGAAGGUGUUGUGGUUAAUAACCGCAGCAAUUGACGUUACCCGCAGAAGAAGCACCGGCUAACUCCGUGCCAGCAGCCGCGGUAAUACGGAGGGUGCAAGCGUUAAUCGGAAUUACUGGGCGUAAAGCGCACGCAGGCGGUCUGUCAAGUCGGAUGUGAAAUCCCCGGGCUCAACCUGGGA